rnacentral:rRNA from 1 species
UCGACGGCAGCGCGGGGCAACCUGGCGGCGAGUGGCGAACGGGUGAGUAAUAUAUCGGAACGUACCCUGGAGUGGGGGAUAACGUAGCGAAAGUUACGCUAAUACCGCAUACGAUCUAAGGAUGAAAGUGGGGGAUCGCAAGACCUCAUGCUCCUGGAGCGGCCGAUAUCUGAUUAGCUAGUUGGUGGGGUAAAGGCCUACCAAGGCGACGAUCAGUAGCGGGUCUGAGAGGAUGAUCCGCCACACUGGGACUGAGACACGGCCCAGACUCCUACGGGAGGCAGCAGUGGGGAAUUUUGGACAAUGGGGGCAACCCUGAUCCAGCCAUUCCGCGUGAGUGAAGAAGGCCUUCGGGUUGUAAAGCUCUUUCAGCUGGAACGAAACGGUACGCGCUAACAUCGUGUGCUAAUGACGGUACCGGCAGAAGAAGCACCGGCUAACUACGUGCCAGCAGCCGUGGUAAUACGUAGGGUGCGAGCGUUAAUCGGAAUUACUGGGCGUAAAGCGUGCGCAGGCGGAUUGUUAAGCAAGACGUGAAAUCCCCGGGCUUAACCUGGGAAUGGCGUUUUGAACUGGCAGUCUAGAGUGCGUCAGAGGGGGGUGGAAUUCCACGUGUAGCAGUGAAAUGCGUAGAGAUGUGGAGGAACACCGAUGGCGAAGGCAGCCCCCUGGGAUGACACUGACGCUCAUGUACGAAAGCGUGGGUAGCAAACAGGAUUAGAUACCCUGGUAGUCCACGCCCUAAACGAUGUCAACUGGUUGUUGGGGGGAGUGAAAUCCCUUAGUAACGAAGCUAACGCGUGAAG